rnacentral:rRNA from 1 species
UAGGGAAUCUUCCACAAUGGACGAAAGUCCGAUGGAGCAACGCCGCGUGAGUGAAGAAGGGUUUCGGCUCGUAAACUCUGUUGUUAAAGAAGAACAUAUCUGAGAGUAACUGUUCAGGUAUUGACGGUAUUUAACCAGAAAGCCACGGCUAACUACGUGCCAG